ACGGGUGAGUAACACGUGGGAACCUACCCUUUGGUUCGGAAUAACGCUGGGAAACUAGCGCUAAUACCGGAUACGCCCUUUUGGGGAAAGGCUUGCUGCCGAAGGAUCGGCCCGCGUCUGAUUAGCUAGUUGGUGGGGUAAUGGCCUACCAAGGCGACGAUCAGUAGCUGGUCUGAGAGGAUGAUCAGCCACACUGGGACUGAGACACGGCCCAGACUCCUACGGGAGGCAGCAGUGGGGAAUAUUGGACAAUGGGCGCAAGCCUGAUCCAGCCAUGCCGCGUGAGUGAUGAAGGCCUUAGGGUUGUAAAGCUCUUUUGUCCGGGACGAUAAUGACGGUACCGGAAGAAUAAGCCCCGGCUAACUUCGUGCCAGCAGCCGCGGUAAUACGAAGGGGGCUAGCGUUGCUCGGAAUCACUGGGCGUAAAGGGCGCGUAGGCGGCCAUUCAAGUCGGGGGUGAAAGCCUGUGGCUCAACCACAGAAUUGCCUUCGAUACUGUUUGGCUUGAGUUUGGUAGAGGUUGGUGGAACUGCGAGUGUAGAGGUGAAAUUCGUAGA
rnacentral:rRNA from 1 species